UACGAAUGUGGCGAGCGUUGUUCGGAAUCACUGGGCGUAAAGAGUACGUAGGCGGUUUGACAAGUCAGGAGUGAAAUCCCCAGGCUCAACCUGGGAACUGCUCUUGAAACUGUCAGACUAGAAGCUCGGAGAGGUUGGCGGAAUUCUCAGUGUAGAGGUGAAAUUCGCAGAUAUUGAGAGGAACACCAGUGGCGUAAGCGGCCAACUGGACGAGUAUUGACGCUGAGGUACGAAAGCGUGGGGAUCAAACAGG
rnacentral:rRNA from 1 species